rnacentral:rRNA from 1 species
UACAGAGGGUGCAAGCGUUGUUCGGAAUUACUGGGCGUAAAGCGCGUGUAGGUGGCGAUGUAAGUCGGGUGUGAAAUCCCUCAGCUUAACUGAGGAAGUGCACUCGAUACUGUGUCGCUUGAGUGUUGGAGGGGAUGGCGGAAUUCCCGGUGUAGAGGUGAAAUUCGUAGAUAUCGGGAGGAACACCUGUGGCGAAGGCGGCCAUCUGGACAACUUACUGACACUGAGACGCGAAAGCCUAGGGGAGCAAACGGG